CCUUUUAAUUGGAGGCCUGCAUGAAUGGCUUGACGAGCGCCCUGCUGUCUCUCUUCCCAUGAACUUUUAAAUUAACUUUCGCGUGCAAAGGCGCGAAUGGCUGAGUUAGACGAAAAGACCCUAUGCAUCUUUACUGAGAGAGAAGAAAGUUCUUUAGCUUGGUUUAGCUGGGGCAGCUGAGGAAAAGGCAAAAUUUCCUUAAUAUAAGUCAUACUGGUGGGUUUAGAUCCAGGCUCUUUAGCGGGCUUGACAAGUAGAAAAGUUACGCUAGGGAUAACAGCGUUAUCCUUCUGUGGAGGUCUUAUCUGCAGGAGGGAUUGCGACCUCGAUGUUGAAUUAGGGAUAUACCAGAAAGGCGCAGAAGCUUUUAUUGUGGU
rnacentral:rRNA from 1 species